AGUGGAAGGAGUAAUGAGCUCUUUGAAGAGUACUCUAGCUGACAUAAAACUGCUCUGCGAUGACUGUCACUCUAUUGCAAUGAAACACAAACUCGACAAUCUCACCAUCGACAAGGAUGACAGUGUGGACAGUAGGAUCACGAGCAGUUUGGAGUGGUCACUAGAAGAAAUGUCCGGAAUCCUCGGGAAAAUGUCUGGUUUAGUCAACUCUCUUCACUCUCGUCUGCAACCUAAGUCGUGAGAUAGCUACAUUAGCGAACACUGAAUUGUGCUAUCAUGAGAUAUGUACCUGUUUUAUGUGAAAUGGAAAAGAUGAUACGGUUAAGCAUAAGGAACCCGUCCGGCAAAAUGGGUCGAAUUUCCGGUGAUGAUGAUAAUGAUUUUAGAUAAUUGAAGCCCGUAUCUAUUUGAAUGGUAAUUGAAUGUUUAAGGCAAAUUGGUCGUUUAUUUUUUGCAUAUUGUACGUUUUACAA